AGAGUUUGAUCCUGGCUCAGAAUCAACGCUGGCGGCGUGCCUAACACAUGCAAGUCGAACGCGAAAGGGGCUUCGGCCCUGAGUAGAGUGGCGAACGGGUGAGUAACACGUGGGUGAUCUACCUUCGAGUGGGGGAUAACGUCCCGAAAGGGACGCUAAUACCGCAUGACGUUCUGGGUUUAAAGACCUGGAAACCAAAGCCGGGGACCGCAAGGCCUGGCGCUUGAAGAGGAGCCCGCGUCCGAUUAGCUAGUUGGCGGGGUAAUGGCCCACCAAGGCGACGAUCGGUAGCCGGCCUGAGAGGGCGGACGGCCACACUGGAACUGAGACACGGUCCAGACUCCUACGGGAGGCAGCAGUGGGGAAUUGUUCACAAUGGGCGCAAGCCUGAUGACGCAACGCCGCGUGGGGGAUGAAGGUCUUCGGAUUGUAAACCCCUGUCGAAUGGGACGAAAGACCCGGGAGCUAAUCAUCCUGGGAGUGACGGUACCGUUAAAGGAAGCCACGGCUAACUCUGUGCCAGCAGCCGCGGUAAUACAGAGGUGGCAAGCGUUGUUCGGAAUUACUGGGCGUAAAGGGCGCGUAGGCGGCCAUCUAAGUCAGACGUGAAAAUCCCCCGGCUUAACCUGGGAACUGCGUCUGAUACUGGACGGGCUCGAGUAU
rnacentral:rRNA from 1 species